GGCCGCAAGGCUGAAACUCAAAGGAAUUGACGGGGGGCCGCACAAGCGGUGGAGCAAGUGGUUUAAUUUGAAGCAACGCGAAGAACCUUUCCAGGUCUUGACCUUCUUUGAAAACCCUAGAGAUAGGGGUUUUCCUUUGGGGACAGAAUUACAGGUGGGGCAUGGUUGUUGUCAGCUCGUGUUGUUAGAAUUUGGGUUAAAUCCCCCCACGAGCCCCACCCUUGAUUUUAGUUUCCAUCAUUAAGGUGGGCACUUUAAGGUGACUGGCCGUGACAAACCGGAGGAAGGUGGGGGAGACGUCAAAUCCUCAAGGCCCUUUUGGCCUGGGGUACACACGUGCUUCAAAGGAAGGGACAAAAAGCUUCAAGGCCGCGAGGGGGAGCUAAAUUUAAAAAACCGUUUUCAGUUCGGAAUGUUGGCUUCAAAUUGCCUUCCAGAAACUGGAAU
rnacentral:rRNA from 1 species